rnacentral:rRNA from 1 species
GCGUGCAGGAUGACUGCUUUAUGGGUUGUAAACUGCUUUUUUACGGGAAUAAUUAUGAUCACGUGUGAUUAUUUGCAUGUACCGUAAGAAUAAGGAUCGGCUAACUCCGUGCCAGCAGCCGCGGUAAUACGGAGGAUCCUAGUGUUAUCCGGAUUUAUUGGGUUUAAAGGGAGCGUAGGCGGUAGUGUAAGACUUAGGUGAAAUCUCCAUGCUUAACGUGGAGCUCGCUUGGGAGACUGCAUUACUUGAGGAUUGGAGGGGAGACUGGAAUUCUUGGAGUAGCAGUGAAAUGCGUAGAUAUCAAGAGGAAGACCUGUGGCGAAGGCGAGUCUCUGGACAAUACUUGACGCUGAGGCUCGAAGGCCAGGGGAUCAAACGGGAUUAGAUACCCCGGUAGUCCUGGCAGUAAACGGUGCACACUUGCUGUGUGAGGGAUCGACCCCUUACGUGGCGAAGCCAACGCAUUAAGUGUGCCGCCUGGGGAGUACGGUCGCAAGACUAAAACUCAAAGAAAUUGACGGGGGCCUGCACAAGCGGUGGAGUAUGUGGCUUAAUUCGAUGCAACGCGAAGAACCUUACCUGGCCUUGACAUGCAGAUAGUAGAAGGGUGAAAGCCCGCCGAGUGAGCAAUCACAGUCUGCACAGGUGCUGCAUGGCUGUCGUCAGCUCGUGUCGUGAGAUGUUGGGUUAAGUCCCGCAACGAGCGCAACCCCUAUGUUCAGUUGCCACCUGGCCGAGAGGCUGGAGCACUCUGGAGAGACUGCCUCUUACAAAAGGGGAGGAAGGUGGGGAUGACGUCAAGUCAGUAUGGCCCUUAUGGCCAGGGCUGCACACGUACUACAAUGCGUGCUACAGAGGGAAGCGAGUCCGCAAGGAGGAGCCAAUCCGAUAAAAGCACGCUCAGUUCGGAUUGUCGGCUGCAAUUCGCCGGCAUGAAGCUGGAAUCGCUAGUAAUGGCGCAUCAGCUACGGCGCCGUGAAUACGUUCCCAGGCCUUGCAAUCACCGCCCGUCA